rnacentral:rRNA from 1 species
CCUUACCUACCCUUGACAUGUCCUGAAGCCUGGAGAGAUCCGGGUGUGCCCGAAAGGGAACGGGAACACAGGUGCUGCAUGGCUGUCGUCAGCUCGUGUCGUGAGAUGUUGGGUUAAGUCCCGCAACGAGCGCAACCCUUGUCAUUAGUUGCUACAUUUGGUUGGGCACUCUAAUGAGACUGCCGGUGACAAACCGGAGGAAGGUGGGGAUGACGUCAAGUCCUCAUGGCCCUUAUGGGUAGGGCUUCACACGUAAUACAAUGGCGCGUACAGAGGGUUGCCAAGCCGCGAGGUGGAGCCAAUCCCAGAAAGCGCGUCGUAGUCCGGAUUGCAGUCUGCAACUCGACUGCAUGAAGUCGGAAUCGCUAGUAAUCGCGGAUCAGCAUGUCGCGGUGAAUACGUUCCCGGGUCUU